GAUUGAGUGCGCAAUGGCGAGUUGACCGGCUUCUCGUUGGAGUAAGAAGACGAAGGGUUGAACACUUCGAGCGAGCCACGUUGGUCUCUCGGAAAUGCUUCCAUUCUUCUCACUCUCUGCUCCAUUCAUGCACACGUCACACAAUUAAUCUCUCAAAAAGGUCAGAAAUCUUCUGAAUUUGGCGGUGGUAGGAGGUGGGGGCUUGUGUUGCUGCUUAUUGUUAAAGAAACUUGCAUAGAAUUUAAACAGAGAGAAAACUGAUUUCUAGAAACGGCUUAUAGUGCAGAAGGAGGACAGGUGGAAGAAAAAGAUGAAGUUGAUCAUUGUUGGAAAGGUUUGGGUUCCCAUCCCUGUGUCUGGAUAUUUCACAUGGGACAUUCCUAAAAGUGUGCUAUAUGAUGGUGCAACCUUAUUCACUUUGGAGGGCUAAAACAUUUGAGAGAAACAAAAUUUUACAGAGUGGAGGAACCAAACAGUGAUAUAUCUUCUGAUGCUGCAUCUUCAUCUGGGUCUUACCUUGAAUGAUUUGUGGUGUCAGAACGCAAGUGCCAGUCUGGAAGUGGGGUGUGAAAAAAGAAAAGCAACAAGAGCAGAGAACGUGAACAUUAUCUGAGUCUCCACAACCAUGUUAAUCUCUGCAGGCUAGCUGUACCCUCCUUUUGUUCCAAGGACAACACUGUUUGGUUUUCUAUGUCUGAGGUUGUGGACUUAUAGCCCAGGACAAAUGCAAAAUCAGACAACCAAAAAUGGCAAAUAUCCUCACUUUUUUGCGUCUUGAAAAACAUAUAGAAUAUUAAUAUACCCACUAUCCUGCACAAGGGUAAUUCUUGCAGUAUUGCAUAUCUAAGAAAAAAAGAGGAGCUUGUUGAAAGGGCAUGGUGGUCACAAGGAUAAGCUUGUGAAAUGGACACAUGAGACCAUGUUGGUAGACGCUGGAUGAUUCAUGACCACAAAUAAUCCUCAAGAUUGAGUUUAAGUGUAUAUUUUUCCCUUUUAGUGGGUAUCAAAUGGUGAUUGAUGUUUACCUUUUUUAUGUAGUUGCCUGCUGAAUGGUAAAAUGAUUGAAAGUGAAGGAGUUCUUUCAUCAACUUCGUGAUGUGAAGGAUCAAGAAUACCUAGGAUAAGUCAUCGAUCUGCUAUGGCUUAAACACCAACCAUUCACCAACUACUCCCAAUAUUGCAAGAACAAAAUUUGUAAACAAAGAAAAAACAUGAAUAUAUAUUAUUGAGUUUAAUUAA